rnacentral:sRNA from 1 species
UCCUCCUCUUCUGUUCCAUCCUCUCCAAAUAGUUCUAAUUCUGAUACCAAUGGUAAUCCCAAGAAUGGUGAUCUCUCCAAUAUUGAAGGCAUCUUGAAGAAUGAUCGAAUAGAUUGUUCUAUGAAAACAAGCAAAUCGAGUGCACCUGGGAUGACAAAAAGUCAUAGUGGUGUGACAAAAUUUAGUGGCAUGGUUCUACUGUGUAAAGUCUGUGGGGAUGUGGCGUCAGGAUUCCACUAUGGAGUUCAUGCUUGCGAAGGCUGUAAGGGUUUCUUUCGGAGAAGUAUUCAACAAAACAUCCAGUACAAGAAGUGCCUGAAGAAUGAAAACUGUUCUAUAAUGAGAAUGAAUAGGAACAGAUGUCAGCAAUGUCGCUUCAAAAAGUGUCUGUCUGUUGGAAUGUCAAGAGAUGGUAUGUUCCCAGUUUAAAGAGUGUUCCUAAAGUGUAUGGAGCUUGGCUUUUAUUCCUCAUCAUGAACCAGAGCUGUAAACCGGUUACCAAGGACCCUCUUGUAUUUAAGCUGUUCGGUUUGGUCGUAUUCCUAAGCGUGAAAAACAGAGGAUGCUAAUUGAAAUGCAAAGUGCAAUGAAGACCAUGAUGAACAGCCAGUUCAGUGGUCACUUGCAAAAUGACACAUUAGUAGAACAUCAUGAACAGACAGCCUUGCCAGCCCAGGAACAGCUGCGACCCAAGCCCCAACUGGAUCAAGAAAACAUCAAAAGCUCUUCUCCUCCAUCUUCUGAUUUUGCAAAGGAAGAAGUGAUUGGCAUGGUGACCAGAGCUCACAAGGAUACCUUUAUGUAUAAUCAAGAGCAGCAAGAAAACUCAGCUGAGAGCAUGCAGCCCCAGAGAGGAGAACGGAUUCCCAAGAACAUGGA